UAUUCAUACCAACAAUCAGUCCACCCAAACUUUCUACCUCAUCAAUUGUCUACCUAAACAAAUUGUUUCAUCAAUUGUCCACAAUUUUAGUUAAUUAAACCAAAUCACGUUUACUUACUCAAAUGGCGUUUUAAAAACUGAUUGCCCAGUACCAUAACCGGAUUAAUAAUAAACCCGACCCUAAUACUACUAUAACCCGGUUUCCCAUUAAAAUAUGUUAUGUCGCUAAAGCUUCUUUUUCCCAACUAAAUUCAAGUCCAUCUUUUGAUUUGGGGGAAACUUAACCGCGACCAUGGAGCAAAGUAGAAAGGAAUAAGAGCAAGCGAAAUCUGGGGGAAAAUAGGAGAUGGAGUGGAAACAUGAAAAGUGAAGGUUCUUGUUCAAGGUGAAACAGAGAGUUUAUUCAUGGUGUUCCAUCACGCUGUUGGUGUGGAAAGCUAUGUAGCACUGGGACGUGGGUUUGAGUGACGUCCCGGUACCGGAAACGUGGAGACGUAUAAUAAUUACGGGAACAGCAUGGGAACGGUGCUGGGAAAAGACAGAGAACUAAGAAGAUUUAAAAGCUUUGGUUAAGAUAGAGAAAAGUGAAGAAGCGGUGCUUUGGAGAACAAUGGAUGUCUAGAUGCCAUUACAUAGCUUUGUUGUAAAUUUUUGUAAUUGUCGAUGCUAAGAGAAUGGUCUUGUAACUUGGAUUUAUGUGUUGUUUUAGAACACCUUUAUAUCAUUUCGAUUCAUCACAA